rnacentral:tRNA from 1 species
AGAGAUGUAGCUCAGUGGUAGAGCACUUGCUUAGCAUGUAUGAGAUCCUGGGUUCAAUCCCAGUACCUUGU